UUCUGGCUCAGGAUGAACGCUGGCGGCGUGCUUAACACAUGCAAGUCGAACGAGCACUUCGGUGCGAGUGGCGGACGGGUGAGUAACGCGUGGGUAACCUGCCCUGUACAGGGGAAUAACAGAGAGAAAUCUCUGCUAAUGCCGCAUAAGCGCACGGCACCGCAUGGUGCAGUGUGAAAAGCUCCGGCGGUACAGGAUGGACCCGCGUCUGAUUAGCUUGUUGGCGGGGUAACGGCCCACCAAGGCAACGAUCAGUAGCCGGCCUGAGAGGGUGAUCGGCCACAUUGGGACUGAGAUACGGCCCAGACUCCUACGGGAGGCAGCAGUGGGGAAUAUUGCACAAUGGGGGAAACCCUGAUGCAAGCAACGCCGCGUGAGUGAAGAAGUAUUUCGGUAUGUAAAGCUCUAUCAGCAGGGAAGAAGAUGACGGUACCUGCACAAGAAGCCCCGGCUAACUACGUGCCAGCCGCGGC
rnacentral:rRNA from 1 species